rnacentral:pre_miRNA from 1 species
UUAACACAAUUUGUAUGGGGUUGGAACGUUUGCCUACGUUUACCGCUAGGGGCGCUGUUCCAACUGCAUACAAAUUUGAGUAA